UGAGCAGAACAGUCGACGAUCAUGUGACCGCGGCGAGCCAAUGAAGGCAGAUUACAAAAAAAAAAAAGAAAAAAAAGAGGAACACAUAUAUUUGUAAUUUUGGUUUAGAGAAACAUUUCUUUGGACCUCAAAAAACAACCACAGAACCGCAAGCUGUGAGCAAAAUUGAGAGACACACACGACCAGAUCCGGGAUAUUGGUCAGUAAAAGAGGACGCAACACUUUUUUUUUUUUCUAAUUUUGUCUGGAAACCACAGUGUCACAGACUGACACUUUUUCGGAACGCAGGAAGUGGAAGGAGAAAACCUCAAUGGCUUCGAACAGCAUCUUUGAGACGUUUCCUUUAUAUGCGCCAGGUUUCAUCAAGGAGAAAUGGAGAAAAUGUCUUUGUCCCUUCGUGAAAACCAAAUUUGCAAAAAUGAAAUCAAAUCCUUCACUAACAACGAUGUAUCUGUUAGACGCAUAUGGCGUAAGAUCCCAAAUACCAGAAAACCCAGGAAUCUUUUAUUCUCUUCUUCCUUUUAUUCAACUGGAAAACAUGAAAAAGAUACAAGUGAUGAGAAGCAGGACACAGUCCGGAACAGCGUCAGCCCGAGACCAAACCGCAUAGAUUUUUACAUUGUCUAAGAAAAAUUUCAUUUGACUAUUUUACUUAUUAAUUUUAUUAUUUUUUAAAUCUAAUUAUUAUUAUUAUUAUUGCUCUUUUUUUAUUGAUUUUGACAAAAUUGUAUUUUGAAAAAAAAAAACACUAACUGAAUUAUUACAAAAUAAUUUUUCUGAACACAGAAUAAUCAA